GAGCGGCGAACGGGUGAGUAACACGUGAGUAACCUGCCCUCAACUUCGGGAUAAGCCUGGGAAACCGGGUCUAAUACCGGGUAGGACCUGCGGCGGCAUCGCUGUGGGUGGAAAGUUUUUUCGGUUGGGGAUGGGCUCGCGGCCUAUCAGCUUGUUGGUGGGGUAGUGGCCUACCAAGGCGACGACGGGUAGCCGGCCUGAGAGGGCGACCGGCCACACUGGGACUGAGACACGGCCCAGACUCCUACGGGAGGCAGCAGUGGGGAAUAUUGCGCAAUGGGCGGAAGCCUGACGCAGCGACGCCGCGUGGGGGAUGACGGCCUUCGGGUUGUAAACCUCUUUCAGCAGGGACGAAUUCGGACGUGUACCUGUAGAAGAAGCGCCGGCUAACUACGUGCCAGCAGCCGCGGUAAUACGUAGGGCGCGAGCGUUGUCCGGAAUUAUUGGGCGUAAAGAGCUCGUAGGUGGCUUGUCGCGUCUGCCGUGAAAGCCCAUGGCUUAACUGUGGGUCUGCGGUGNAUACGGNCUGGCUAGAGGUAGGUAGGGGCAAGCGNAAUUNCU
rnacentral:rRNA from 1 species